AUCCGGGUUGCGGACAGUGUCUGGUGGGUAGUUUGACUGGGGCGGUCUCCUCCUAAAGAGUAACGGAGGAGCACGAAGGUUGGCUAAUCCUGGUCGGACAUCAGGAGGUUAGUGCAAUGGCAUAAGCCAGCUUGACUGCGAGCGUGACGGCGCGAGCAGGUGCGAAAGCAGGUCAUAGUGAUCCGGUGGUUCUGAAUGGAAGGGCCAUCGCUCAACGGAUAAAAGGUACUCCGGGGAUAACAGGCUGAUACCGCCCAAGAGUUCAUAUCGACGGCGGUGUUUGGCACCUCGAUGUCGGCUCAUCACAUCCUGGGGCUGAAGUAGGUCCCAAGGGUAUGGCUGUUCGCCAUUUAAAGUGGUACGCGAGCUGGGUUUAGAACGUCGUGAGACAGUUCGGUCCCUAUCUGCCGUGGGCGCUGGAGAAUUGAGGGGGGCUGCUCCUAGUACGAGAGGACCGGAGUGGACGCAUCACUGGUGUUCGGGUUGUCAUGCCAAUGGCACUGCCCGGUAGCUAAAUGCGGAAGAGAUAAGUGCUGAAAGCAUCUAAGCACGAAACUUGCCCCGAGAUGAGUUCUCCCUGACCCUUUAAGGGUCCUGAAGGAACGUUGAAGACGACGACGUUGAUAGGCCGGGUGUGUAAGCGCAGCGAUGCGUUGAGCUAACCGGUACUAAUGAACCGUGAGGCUUAACCUUACAACGCCGAAGGUGUUU
rnacentral:rRNA from 1 species